rnacentral:tRNA from 1 species
GCCACUAUAGCUCAGUGGUAGAGCACUGGUCUCGUAAACCAGGGGGUCGUGAGUUCAAACCUCACGGCGGCA